CAAUAAAAUGUUGUAAAUGUAGGAUUUAAUUUUCAGCACAGUUCAAUAGGCAGGAUAGUAGAGCAUGGUUAUAAUGGAAUUCAAGCCUUGGUGGAACUUUUUUCUGUAUUUGUCCUGUCUUGCUGAUGGUAGAGAGCUCUUCCAUACCUCGUACACAAACAAAAAACCCUUUCGGGACGACGGUGACUGUAACAGACGAAAACCCCGUUCAGAUUCACAGAGAGAAGUAUCUGCAAAACCAAAUAUGGUAGAUCCAGAACGGUCCUGGCACAAGCAAACAAGCACAGCAUCACUACAGCUCUGAUUCAAGCAUUGUUAAACUGAUUAGAAAUAAGCUGAUAUAUAUAUAUAUCCUCACGUACAAAGUAUUUUGGUUAUAUUGGAGUCACUCGUGUAUGCUGGUCAGUUCGUCCGUCCGUCCAUCCAUCUGUCCGUCUUGUCCGCUGGGAAGAUUUUCAUAAAGUUCAGUUCAGUUCAGUUUACUUUGCAUUAAGGCCAGCGGCCCAUAAACUUAUAUAUACAAAUAUACUAUUCAUCAAAUUGUCAUGACAGCAUGUUAUAAUAUUCAUUAUGUAACUAAGUAAUACAUACAGUUACACAUACUUAUCAAAUGACAUUGAUAUACUGAUAAUUAUUAAACCUCACUAAAGAAUUGAUCGUAGUAAGGGGCAGAGAUAUGUAGGUUAGGGUCAGGUAGCUUAAAGGUCAAGGUCACUGGGAUAAGUUUUUGUAACAAAGUUGAUUUUAUGGCAUACUUCUCAAUUUGACUUACAAUUGAUAAUAUUUCUUCGCACUGAAUUUCCUUAUACCCUGCACUUGCAAGGUCUAUCCACUUAUCCUCUAACCCCUCGACACAUCCAUCUAUUACAUCCAACCCUACCACUUCCUCUAAACUGAAACAUUCCUUACAUAAACUUACAGUUUUCUUAAUUACAUUGCAUAUCUUAGAUCUCAGAAGUAUAUACGUUCAGUGUCCCAUAUUCCCUCACCUUCCACACCCACUUCCAAAAUUUGUUAUAUACAUUUUAAAAUCUCUAACGCUUAUGUUACAUAUGGGUUUUCAGCAUUUCUCAUUUUCCAUCCCCAUUUCUACAGCCCCCUACUUCCCGAAUAUUCUUUUUAUUAUUUUUUUCCAUAUUUCAUACUUACUUAUUUCUUAAAUUGUUUCUUAGAUCUCCUCAUUUACCCGAAACUACCCCCUCCCCUACCCCAAAAGAAAAAGAAAGAGGAGUCUUAUUGUUCCGUCACUCACGCUUACUUAUAUCCUAUAACAAUAAAUCUUGGUCAACAUUUCCAAAUAGUCAAGCGGGCUUUCCUUCCAACAGCUCUUGAUAUAAAUUAGGAUUACUUGUUAAACUAAUAAAAAGAUGUAAGCACUAACAACCUAGUUCAUUAGGUCAAAGGUCAAGUUUUGCAAAGUAAGCACUAACUGUCAUUUCCAUCUAGUCGAAAUACGAAAAGCACAACACAUGUCACUUAGAUUAAAGGUCAAUGGGACACAUAAGCGAUCAAAGGUGUGUCUGCUCCAUAUCUUGUAACCUCAUUUUCCUUACACUCAUAAAACUAGCAAUAAAUAUCAAGAAGACCUGUAAAGAACCCAGAUUACUAGAUCCAAGGUCAAGGUUACACUUGAAUGUCAAAAUGAUGACAUCAUUGAUUAACCCUGCAUCAAAGCAGCGUCUGGGGGUAACAAUUGCUCGUAGUUUAUCGUUUUAGCGGACUAAAUUUGUAAUUGUAUCAACCAUUUGACAAAUAUUUUCUAAAUUUUAGGAUAAAUAUUUAAAACAAAAAUCAGGAAAUUGUUUGUUUUUUGAACACUGAUACAGUCAGACUAUCUUUAGACACAGCGAAUAUUUUAGCUUGGUUUGUUGUCAGUCAUGAUUUUAUGCAUCUUGAUUUUUUUUCAGGUUAUUUUUCUAAAUGAUAUUUUUGUUACAAAUAGCACAUUUGAUAUUAAUGUAAAAAAAUCUCAGAUUUUUGCACUUUUGAACAAUUGCAUUUUAGCUGGUCAGGGACAGUUUCAAAAAUAAAUAUGCGUAGUUUAGUUUAUGAAUUUAUAAAAAGCUACUUUUCGCAAAUUGUACAAUUUGGAGCGGGGGCUAAAUUCCAAACUCAUAUAUUUUAAGAUAUAUAGAGGACAUUUCUUUGUUUCAGUGUAAGCUCGAAAUAGAAACAUUCUAGUGUUCACACGUGAAAAAAUAAUUAAAAUUAAUCACACGAAUUUUAUUCUAAUGCAUUUUAUUAUUGUUAUUAUUUUAUAUAUUCUGCCAACGUAACGCCAUAGGCAAUGUGCAACGUUACUCUACAUUUUAUGGCAAUAUAUAUGUUGGAAAAAAUGUUACAUAGUGACAUUUUAAUCCACAUGUAGUUAUGUUUUAGUUAAAAAGAUAUCCGAUUCUACGUUAUUCAUAUUCUGUCGCGUUAAAUUGUGGUUACAUACAAGUGAAAAUUAUAUUUGGAUUUCCCACCUUUAAACAGUGGCUUUAUCAGGGUAUAAUGCAUCGUUGUUUUCUUGAAACUUUCUCAAAAUAUGAUAUAUAAUUCCAUAUUCUAGUAACUGCAAAAUGUACCGAUAGGACUGUAAUUCUUUUAUUCAAAUCCGCAUUCUACAGUCCUUUGUCUGGAUCGUCUACAUGUUGCUUUUAAAAGUCAUUUUGGCCUCAUUUUUUGUACACUGAAUUUUACACACUGUUUGGCAUAACUUUUAACCAACACCUAACUGAUACUCUGAGCACUAACCUUAACCAUUUGGGGCUAAAAUGACUUUUAAAGCAACUUUGUCUUUUAUGGGAACAACUUAAGACUAGCAUAUCUUUAUAAAUGAUGGGUAAAAAUUGUUGGCAAACUUUCAGGUUUUUAGUCUACGCUUUUAUGGAGCACUGUAAUAUAACGUUAGAUUAUAACAUGAUAAAUUCAUUGUUUUAAACAGAGAGAAAUCCAAAUAUGAUGUUCACUAGAAUGGAAUUACACUUGAACGCGAAAGGAUAUAGAUUGUAAAAACGUGAAAUGUGCUUAAAAGCAACUGUAUAGUAUCGCUUUCAAAAACACUAAAAUACACGAGAAAGUAUUGAAAUAUUAAAGAUUCUUAUACAUCUCUUAGACCUAUUGAACCUAUUUUCCAACAUAAGCAUUGUGUCGUCAUGAAAUAUAGCGUAACGUUACUCCUUGCGCAUGUCUUACCUGACUGAAUAAGAUAAGUUAAUAAUAUGAAAAAAUAAUUAGUUUAACUCUACAAUACAUAAAGCAAUACAACAUGAAUGAACUUUUUAAUCGACUUAUGUGUAGAAUUUGGUUAUUUUGUUAGAAAGCUAAAAAUUAGAUAUGAACGUUUCAUAAUGAACUAUUUUCACUUGGGAACGCCAGAUUUAAGUUCACUCGGUGCUGAAAUAAACGAAUGUCUUCUGUACCUUUUACAAUAGCAAAUGGAUAAAAACUUAAGGUGACAGAAAUAACUAAAAGAAUCCCUUACCAUUUUGAAAUGACAAAGUUUCAUUUGCUGUGCAACUACUGUUAGACAUUUCCUGAUUGAUCUUUCUAAGAACAUUUAAUUCAUUUGAAAAUCAACUGUUUUCUCCUCUUAUCUGUGAAUCAUGUCUGUCAUACUGAUUUAUUAAUGAUAUACAUUUUGUACCUUGUUACUCGGGUAUCAAGUUACGUAGAUACUUUAAAAUAUAAUUCCGAGCUUACCGUAUUUUCUCAAGGAGUUGAAUUCAAUGAAUUUUUGUUCAUAUCGUUUUAAAUUUUAAAAUAAUAGUAUUUUUAGAAGUAUUCUUUAUUGUUUUAACACUGUAGUUAUACUUUAAAAUGUUAUUUGUGAUUAUUUUUAAAUUUUAUUUCUGCAUGAAAAAUGAAUAAAAUGCCAUACAGUUGUGUUGAUUAUUUUAGUUUAAGAAAUAAAAGGUCAUACCAUU